UACAAAGGUGUUUACCAAAUUCUUGUCUAUGGUCGCGUCAAAUUGCUUCAGUUGUUGUCAAAAAGUUAGCAUGUAAAUCCUAACCUUCAAAUGUGACGCGAUGAUGAGAAUCAAGUUAUCAACAUUGUGCAACUUCUAUAACGUACUAAACGUGAAAAAAAUACCCAUAAACAAGACUAUUAAAACACGAUCACUUUUUACAAAUUCAAUAAAUUAUGAAUUAUCAAAACCAAAUGAAUCUACUGUCAUCGUACCUGCCGUAAAUAAUCCAACUAAAGGGCAAGAAGCGGCUGUAGUAACUACACAUUCAGUGAAAAAGAGACCACUUAGACGAAGAUGUGUUGUGAUGAGUACUGAAGGUACUCAUAUGGUUACAGCAUUUGCUACAGCAGAGCAAUAUGAUCUAGAAAAAUUAAUUGAUGGAUUGAAGAAGCAAAACUUAUAUGAAGCUCAAAGAUUUUUAUCUUCUGCGAACUAUGCUUGUUCUCCUGAUGUAAUUCAUGCAACUGCUAAAUUUCAAGUUGGUAAUGAACCCCGCAAUAUAUUCUUUUUUCGAGAAGGUUGUAUGGUAUUAUGGAAUGUAACUGACCUCGAAAGCAGUAAUUUGAUGUCCUUUAUAAAAGAAUUUGAAGAAGACAGUUAUAGUGAUGCUAUGGUUGAAGAAGAAUCUGAACAAAUGACUUAUUACACAUCUGACAAAGGGGGUAGAGCUCAAAUAAAAGAUAAUAUGUUCGUCUUAUCUAAUAGCAAUCCUGAAGAAACACUUCUUGAAAAAUAUACAUAUUCAAAUGCAAUGGCGCUAUCUGUGAAAUUGGGUAUUUGGGAAGCAUCACUUGACCAAUAUAUAGGAUCAAUAGAUCAUUUAACAUGGGACUUGAAACGAGGGAAAAAAAUAAGAUUAACACGGGAUGAAAUGUUACGUAAAACUGGAGAAUUAUUUGCUUUAAGACAUACAAUGAAUUUGCGAUCAGAUUUGUUGGAUGUACCAGAUUUUUAUUGGGAUCGAGAUCAAAUGGAAAGAUUAUACACACAAACUUCUAACUAUUUCAGCAUAUCAAAACGAACAAAGGUUGGCCAUGAAUAAGUGACUGAUGAGCAAUGAAGGUUGCACCAUAUUACCAUUUGUUGAUUACCAAAAUAUUCUUCAAGAGUUGUUAUAGAUUAACAUGGUUACUUAUUUUCUAUGAUGUGACCUUAACAUGUGGCACACCUAUUCCUUCGACUAGAGAAAUUUUGCUAGGUGGCGAAAACGAACAAAUAGAAUUAUAUUUAGGUGAAGAUGUACGGUUAAAAUGUGAUAUUCAUACUGGAUCCAGCAGGCACUAUUCUUGGUACCACAAUGGACACAAAAUUAGAACCAAUUCAAGAUUUACUUUGGAGAGA